UUAUGUAUCUAUAUGUUUAUGUUCCUAUUCUUUCUUUCGUUCUUUCUUUCUGUCGUUUCUUUCUCCAUUUACCUGCCCUCUAAUCGUAAAUUGCCUGUAGUCAAAGCCCCGCCCACUUCCGCUUGCUGCUGCGUGCUGUUUACCAGCCCUUCCCGCGAGCGCCCCACCUGCACUCUAGUUCACUUCCGGUUAGAAUGGAGAAAAGAAGCCAAGCAGGUCCUAUGACGUGUCUAACUGACGUAGGAGGAAUCCUCGAAAUGGGGAAGCCCAUCGGAGAGCAUACACCGGACUACUGUCCUCCUCACCCACCGGUAAAUGACGCGUCGGUUUUCCUCCAGCAGCACACCUUCUUACAGACUUACAGACACCACAGAAUCCCGCUUAUUUUCUUCUGAAGCAGUGUAACACGAGAGCAUAGCUACUUCCGGGGUCACGUGAAUGGUAAAAUGGCGGCCCCAGUUUUGCCUGAGCUUUAGGAUGAAGGUCUUCCUCUCCACAUUGAAAGAAAUAUGGUAAUCAAUCACCCAGUACAUGACUACAUGGAGCAGGUGGAGGGAAUCCAGCAAUGGAAUGAUGUGAGAGAACUUGAGGAGACUGAAAAGAAGUGGAGCAGUUGCAGGGAUCAGGGCAACUAAGGAUGGAUAAAAGCAUGCAAAACUCAUAACACACACGCUAUGGAAUGUAGACAGUAGAUGAAUAAAAUAUUAGGUUCGUCACACACGGAAACAAAUCUGCUAGUAGCACCGUUGGAUCCUCUACUUACAAAAUCACUGGUUGUCAGGAAAGCAAGCAGGAAGUUCCAGUCCCACUCAGGAAAAGGCAGAGAGGAACAGGGCUCAAUCCAACACGGCUCAGAUACCGGCCAACGCUGUGUGCGCUGUCUGAUGGUUCUCCAAGCCUGGGACAUACGCCAUCUCACACUGGAGCAUGCUGGCCUGAGCGAACCUUUUCCCCUCCUUCAGGCUCCUUCAUCGACAGACGUAAACAUUCUCGUAAAGAACAUAGCUAAAUUAUUGUGCCAGACUUUCCUUGGAUUAUUUAGUCUCAUUACUACUGGUUUAAGAUGUGAACAGUUACAUGUUUCAGUGUUGAAUAUUCAUUUGACAAUCGGAGAAAUAAAGCUACAAUUAUAGGAUUUCACACACCAGCAGGAUACAAACAUUAAAUUCAAAUAAUGUUCAGGGCUCAGAAUGCAUAAAAAUUACAUUCAAACUUUGCACUGUCCUUAAAUAUAUACUAGUUUUAUGCAUUUAAUUCUGAAGUACAGUAUUUGGAAAAUUAAACAAGCAGUUUGCAUUUUUUGAGCCCUCUGCUGGCUGUGGAGAGAAUUACAACUAAUAAAAACACUUACAAGCCUUCCCAUCCCUCUGUUGAAACUUUCUGACUUUUUUGGGAUAUG
ensembl:lncRNA